UUAAUUUUUUUUUAGUAUUGCAUACUGACGAAGGAAAAUUUUUAUUUUUAUAAUUUAUAGAAUAUAAUUGUGAAACUUAUAUUUGAUAGUUGUUACAAAAUUAUUUAUAGGUAGGUUGGGGUUGAUAAAUCGUGAUUAUGUAUAUCUGUUUUAUAGAUUUUAUAGUUAAGUUAUUUUGAAAUUUAAGGUUUUGUGAAGUUCUUUUGAUCUGUGUUUAGUUGUGUUAAGGACAUAAAAAGGUAAGGGAGGAUUUUGAUAGUUCAAAUUAAGUUUUUAAUUUGUUUAUAAUUUUUGUUUUAGUAAUUUUUUUAUAUAUAAUAUUUUAGAGGAUUUAUUUUAAAUAUAGAACUUGAGUACUUGUUAAAUGUUUUUUAAAAACUGAGAUUCUAAGUUAGGAUUGUUUUCUGCUCUAUGAUGGUUAAAUGGCGGCCAUAGCGUGACGGCCUAAAAGUAGCAUAUGUGAUUUGUUUUUUUAAUGUUUUCUAGUAUGAAUGGAAAAAAUGAUGAGGUUUUUUAUAUUUUUAAUUUUGAAUUAUUUUUUUGAUUAAUAAUAAUUAUAUUUAUUAAAACAAAGAUAAGUCUUCGGAAAUUUUGUUAUGCUGCGGCAUAUUUUUCUUGGGGCUGGAAAUUAUGAAAGUUUUAUAAGCUAAAUUUAAUUUUAUAAAUUACUCCGGAGUUAACAGAGCUAUAGGUACUGACGUAGAAUUAUAUACGAGGUAUUAUGCUACAUCGAUGUUGUAUAUUUGUUGUAAAUUGGAAGAGAAGAAUUUUUUUUUAAGACUGUUCUUCUUGUAUAAAAAUAGAACUUGAUAUUAGUUUAGUUCGUCGUGAGACAGAGCGGUUUAUCUUGUUUAAUAAUUUUUUUUAAUGGUGUGAGUACGAAAGGAAAGUAACGAAGACUUUAAUGUAGGGUUUUUUAGUAAAAUUUUUAAAAU
rnacentral:rRNA from 1 species